rnacentral:rRNA from 1 species
CAGCAGCCACGGUAAUACGUAGGUGGCAAGCGUUGUCCGGAAUUAUUGGGCGUAAAGGGCUCGCAGGCGGUUUCUUAAGUCUGAUGUGAAAGCCCCUGGCUCAACCGGGGAGGGUCAUUGGAAACUGGGAAACUUGAGUGCAGAAGAGGAGAGUGGAAUUCCACGUGUAGCGGUGAAAUGCGUAGAGAUGUGGAGGAACACCAGUGGCGAAGGCGGCUCACUGGACAAUAACUGACGCUGAUGCACGAAAGCUAGGGGAGCAAACAGGAUUAGAUACCCCCGUAGUCCCUGUCUCUUAUAC